GCCCGCCUAGCUCAAUCGGAUAGAGCGUCAGACUCUUAGGUGGGCUUCGUCCCGGGCGAUCUGAAGGCUGCGAGUUCGACCCUCGCGGUGGGCU